AAUCCGUAGUGUGGGCAUUUUUGAAUUAGUGUUUUAAAAUGCUUUCAUGCUUCAUGAAAGCUUUCCCCCUCUAACUAUUUGAACAUCGAAGUUUCCUUUCUUAGUUA
rnacentral:snoRNA from 1 species